rnacentral:lncRNA from 1 species
ACAUCAUACAUUCCAAGUAAUGCAGCACACUACUCUGGACCACGGUGACCUUUUAAAUAUUCUGCAAAUUGAUUUCCAGGCCAUUCCCACUCUCCCUUGUUUAUAGCCUUGGUAACCCAGAAGAAAAUGAGACUGGCCAGCUGUGAUUCCUGCAUUUCUGUUCUCAUCAGUGCUCAGAAUUACAUUUCUUUCUCUCCCAAAGGCUUCAUGACAACGCUUACUGUUGAUCUAGAGAGCAGCAGCACCAAGAAUCUUCAAUAAGGACAAGUUUAAGAGCUAUAAGCAGUUGUGUGGACUCCUUAGAGCCUUCUGCCUGAGAUGAUGCUGCCAGAGGGCCCUUGCCAGAUAUUGCCACCUUGAUAUUAGACUUCCCAUCCUCCAAAACUGUGUUAUCAAAAGGUCUCAUCAAAUUAUUUUAUGUAGAAGAGCACCCAAAUGUUAUUUCUUGCUGUUCCUCUUCUUUUCCUCAAGAGAAAGAAGGUUGAAAACUGAAAAUGAUGAAGUUGAAGAAUGAAGUCAAUGAGUGUUAAGAAGAGAUUCAUUUAUCCUUGAAAAAUGAAAAAGUAGAGUGCUGGUGGUGAUCAUGUCUUCCCUUCACCCAUGGGGACUUUUCAUUUAUCGCUGCCACUCCAGCAUGUUCACUAUUCUCUGUAGCAUGAAAAUCUGAUAAAGCUCAUGAGGGGAGAGAAAACUUAACUUCAAUAUUUUCCUGCUGAGCCUGAGAGUGCUUUGUAUACCCUAGCAAGAUGAAAAUCUUAGCUGCAGCAUCAGGAAGAGGACACCUCACUUUAUCCUACAUUCCUAUCUCAGUCAGGAAAGUAGCUCUAGAGAAGGAACUAAGAAGUCAAGUGCAUGGAAAAACUACAUUUCUCAGCCCCCUGACAAUUCUACAGGGGCACGAAACUAGUUUGGGCCAAUGAAUUGUGAGGAGAAGCAACACAGUGUUCCUUCCAGACUGAGGCCACACAAGCCCCGCACCACCUCUGUGAGGCAGACAUAUUGAUUCAGUGGCGCCACCCCAUCCAGGCAGCUUGGAUCACAAAGGAAAUAGCGGCUGUGGAGAGUUACCUGACCCAUAGAGGACUUUGUGCCUUUUGUGAAGUUGCUCUGUUAUCUCUGUGGCCCCAAAGACCAAAAUGAUGGAGAAAAUGAAACCAGGAUGAUUUCUGACAUCUGCUUCCACUCCACCUUCUUUAACCACUUCAUCCACAUCUCUCUUAGCUUCUCACAUAAGUCUCACCUGGAAUCAUCUUAUUUACACCAAUAAAUUUACCUACCACCUGCCUGUUGAUUGCCAAA